rnacentral:tRNA from 1 species
GCCAUCUUAGCUCAGUUGGUAGAGCGGUUCACUCGUAAUGAACAGGUCGCCAGUUCAAGUCUGGUAGAUGGCU